UGGGGAAUUUUGGACAAUGGGCGCAAGCCUGAUCCAGCAAUGCCGCGUGCAGGAUGAAGGCCUUCGGGUUGUAAACCGCUUUUGUCAGGGAAGAAACGAGUUUCUCUAAUACAGAGACUUAAUGACGGUACCUGAAGAAUAAGCACCGGCUAACUACGUGCCAGCAGCCGCGGUAAUACGUAGGGUGCAAGCGUUAAUCGGAAUUACUGGGCGUAAAGCGUGCGCAGGCGGUUAUGCAAGACAGAUGUGAAAUCCCCGGGCUCAACCUGGGACCUGCAUUUGUGACUGUAUAGCUAGAGUACGGUAGAGGGGGAUGGAAUUCCGCGUGUAGCAGUGAAAUGCGUAGAUAUGCGGAGGAACACCGAUGGCGAAGGCAAUCCCCUGGACCUGUACUGACGCUCAUGCACGAAAGCGUGGGGAGCAAACA
rnacentral:rRNA from 1 species